UUGACGGAAGGGCACCACAAGGCGUGGAGCCUGCGGCUUAAUUUGACUCAACACGGGGAAACUCACCAGGUCCAGACAAAAUAAGGAUUGACAGAUUGAGAGCUCUUUCUUGAUCUUUUGGAUGGUGGUGCAUGGCCGUUCUUAGUUGGUGGAGUGAUUUGUCUGCUUAAUUGCGAUAACGAACGAGACCUCGGCCCUUAAAUAGCCCGGUCCGCAUUUGCGGGCCGCUGGCUUCUUAGGGGGACUAUCGGCUCAAGCCGAUGGAAGUGCGAGGCAAUAAC
rnacentral:rRNA from 1 species